rnacentral:rRNA from 1 species
GACGAACGCUGGCGGCGCGCCUAACACAUGCAAGUCGAACGGAGCUGAGAGAAGCUUGCUUUUCUUAGCUUAGUGGCGAACGGGUGAGUAACGCGUGAGUAACCUGCCCUGGAGUGGGGGACAACAGUUGGAAACGACUGCUAAUACCGCAUAAGCCCACGAUCCGGCAUCGGAUUGAGGGAAAAGGAUUUAUUCGCUUCAGGAUGGACUCGCGUCCAAUUAGCUAGUUGGUGAGGUAACGGCCCACCAAGGCGACGAUUGGUAGCCGGACUGAGAGGUUGAACGGCCACAGUGGGACUGAGACACGGCCCAGACUCCUACGGGAGGCAGCAGUGGGGGAUAUUGCACAAUGGGGGAAACCCUGAUGCAGCGACGCCGCGUGGAGGAAGAAGGUUUUCGGAUUGUAAACUCCUGUCGUUAGGGACGAUAAUGACGGUAACUAACAAGAAAGCACCGGCUAACUACGUG